rnacentral:rRNA from 1 species
UACGUAGGGCGCAAGCGUUGUCCGGAAUUAUUGGGCGUAAAGAGCCCGUAGGCGGUUUGUCGCGUCGGCCGUGAAAUCUCCACGCUUAACGUGGAGCGUGCGGUCGAUACGGGCAGACUUGAGUUCGGUAGGGGAGACUGGAAUUCCUGGUGUAGCGGUGAAAUGCGCAGAUAUCAGGAGGAACACCGGUGGCGAAGGCGGGUCUCUGGGCCGAUACUGACGCUGAGGAGCGAAAGCGUGGGGAGCGAACAGG